CAAGUCAUCACUAUGAUUGGGAAAGAAGCCAAAAUUAUAAUAAAAUGAAAACCUGUGCAUCAAAUCUGAAGGAUGAGUAUAAAAUAGGAUAAACAGUCUUAAAUGAAGAAAUUCAAAAAUAGGAAGCUGAAUUACUUCUCUGAGGAUGUCUUGUCACUAAAACAUGGAGAAUCCAACCUACCCUGCGUAGUUGUGGAAUCCCUCAGAUGACAGCAGUGAAGAUUAUUAAUGAAGAUGUUAAAUAAGAAGAAAGCAACAUCCUUCCCCAUGUACUGCAGUUGAAUUACUAAUCACUUCACGAAUGCUGAAGAAAGCAUUUUAAAAAAGUUUUUUCUGCAAUAUAUACAACCUACACUGAAAAAUCUUAAGCUAUAUGUACUUCAUUCAAUUCAUUCAUGCAUACGAAUAUUCAAAACCUUCAUUUAAGCUCAAAGGCCAUGGAGAUAAAAAAGAAGACAAAUUAACCAGUUGACAAGGACCUAGCUGUCCAAUGUGUUGACUUUGUUGUUACACAAUAUAGUCAAUUCUCAUUAUUCACCAAU
rnacentral:lncRNA from 1 species